rnacentral:lncRNA from 1 species
UUUCAGAUACACUCUGGAUGUUGACAGAAUUGGUUCCUCUUGGUUGUAGGACGGAGGGUUCAGCUUUUUGCUAGCUUUGGCUAGAGGUUGCCCUCAACUACUGAAGGUUGCCCACAGUUCCUUUCCAUAUGGGCUUUCCCAACAUGGCUGCUUACUUCACUAAGUCAGCAAGGAGAGGCUCUAAAGCCAAUCUGCCAGCAAGACUGAAUCUUACAUAAGGGAACAGAAUCGAGGAAGUGACAUCAUUAUCAUCCUUGCCAUAUCCUGUCCUUUAGAAGCAAGUCGCAGUUCUGACCUACCCUCAGGGUACACCCUCCAGUCUAUCCGUCACAAGGUCGUUUGUUACACAGGAGAAGUUAACUGAUACAACCAAUUGUAUAUUCUUCGUUGUGGGUCCUUCUAGUUGUGGCAUGUGGGACACCGCCUCAGCGUGGUUUGAUGAGCAGCGCCAUGUCCGCACCCAGGAUUCAAACCAACGAAACACUGGGCUGCCUGCAGCGGAGCACCCGAACUUAACCACUCGGCCACGGGGCCAGCCCCAACAGUAGUAUUUUUGAUGGUAUUGCUACGUGACUCUCUCCUUUGCUGGUUUUGAUGAAGCAUGCAGCCAUUUAUGAGAGGCCAAGAAACCAAGGGCAGCCUCCAGCCAAGAACCAGCUGAGGGUGGCCCCUAGCUGACAAUCAGCAAGACGUUGAGGCCACCCGCCCUACAACACCAAGGAACUGAAUUCUACUAACAACUGCACGAAUUUGAAAGUGGGUUGUUCCCCAGUUGAACCUUGAGAUGAGACCAUCAGGCCAACCAACAAUCUCAUUGAAGUCACAUGAAAUCUGGAAGCAGAAGAUCUGACUAAACUGUGCCCACACACCUAACCACAGAAACUGUGUAUUAAUAAAUGUGUGUUGUUUUAAACCAACGUCUUUGUGGCAAUAUUGCUACCCAACAAUAAAUAACUAAUAAACAGUCCAAGAAUCAACUCACGAAUUUCUU